GUACACACCGCCCGUCGCUACUACCGAUUGAAUGAUUUAGUGAGGCCUCCGGACUGGCGUUCCUGGCGGCCUUGGUCGCCUCGAGCUGCCGGAAAGAUGUCCAAACUUGAUCAUUUAGAGGAAGUAAAAGUCGUAACAAGGUUUCCGUAGGUGAACCUGCAGAAGGAUCA
rnacentral:rRNA from 1 species